rnacentral:rRNA from 1 species
AUUCCAGCUCCAAUAGCGUAUAUUUUAGUUGUUGCAGUUAAAAAGCUCGUAGUAGAAUUUCUGGUGGGGGAAUGCAGUUCAAGCUAUGCUUGAUACUCGCACUCUCCGGCCAUCUUUGAGUGGAGCCUGUCUGGCGUUAAGUUGUCGGGAUGGGGAUGCUCAUCGUUUACUGUGAAAAAAUUAGAGUGUUCAGAGCAGACUUAUGUCGUUGAAUAUAUUAGCAUGGGAUAAUAAGACAAGACUUCGGUACUAUUUUGUUGGUUAGGUGCCGUUGUAAUGAUGAACAGGGACAGUUGUGGGUAUUCGUAUUCACUUGUAAGAGGUGAAAUUCUUAGAUUAAGGGAAGACGAACUACUGCGAAAGCAUUUACCAAGGAUGUUUUCAUUG